rnacentral:lncRNA from 1 species
CACCGGGUUCCUAGCGUCCAUGUCCCCUCUAAAGCUUUUUCCACUAAGGUUACCUGCAACAAAAUAGUGGCAUCAUGAGUACUAAUUACUCAGUUAGUUCGGCGCCUAAUCUUGGAAAUUAAACACCCCAAAGUCCCCAACAGAAAAUAGAUCAACAAGCAAGCAAGCAAAACUAUUGAUGGAACAAUGGCAAACAAUCAAUCUAACAUGCAAU